UACGUAGGGUCCAAGCGUUAUCCGGAAUCACUGGGCGUAAAGCGUGCGUAGGCGGGAGUUUAAGUGAGUUGUUAAAUCGUGUGGCUCAACCAUAUCGAUGCAAUUCAUACUGGAUUCCUAGAGGAAGGCAGAGGCAAGUGGAAUUGGUAGUGUAGCAGUGAAAUGCGUAGAUAUUACCAGGAACACCAAUGGCGAAGGCAGCUUGCUGGGCCUUUUCUGACGCUGAGGUACGAAAGCGUGGGGAGCAAACAGG
rnacentral:rRNA from 1 species